rnacentral:rRNA from 1 species
AUGGAGCUUUUCCGAAACUGUCUUGAUGACUGCGGGCUGGUGGACCUCGGUUUUGCUGGUCCUAAGUUCACCUAGACUAAUCGGCAGGACGCGCAAUGCAAUGUGCGGGUCAGACUUGACUGCGCUGUGGCUAACGGCGACUUUACUGCCAUGUUCGAGUUCUAUCAUGUGGAAAACAUAAUUACUACCACUUCUGACCAUUAUGCGGUGGCCAUCUCCCUCGACUCCCAGCAAGUGAUGGGUGAUCGGCCCCCUGUACAACACAAGUUCCGCUAUGAGGCUAUGUGGCGCCGUGCUGAGGGCUACAUUGAGGUAGUGGAGAAUGCUUGGAAAGCCCAUGCCACUGGAAUUCACUCGCUGCAUGAAACAUGGUCAGUUUUGAACCAUGUGUCAGGUGCUCUGAAGGAAUGGAGCAAGGUGGCCUUUGGUUCUGUCCGACGUGAGAUCCAGAGAACCGAAAGGAGACUCAAGUCUCUGCGAACGUCACCCGUGAAUGCUGCUGGGCUGAAGGAGGAACAUGAGCUAGAGUGCCAGCUAUGUGAAUUGUUUGAGCGUGAGGAAAUCAUGGCACGAUAACGGUCUCGGAUCGACUGGCUCUGUGCGGGAGACCGCAAUACGGAGUUCUUCCAUGCCCGGGCCUCUGCACGACGGCGCACCAACCGCAUCAAGGCUCUUGUGCGGGAGGAUGGCUCCAAGUGUGUUUCUCAGGACGGGUUGAAAGAGAUGGUACAUGAUUUUUACGAGGAUCUCUUCUCUGCUGGAGACUGCACCUCUAUGGAUAGAGUGUUGGAUGCUAUC